rnacentral:rRNA from 1 species
GACGAACGCUGGCGGCGUGCCUAAUACAUGCAAGUUGAGCGCUGAAGGUUGGUACUUGUACCAACUGGAUGAGCAGCGAACGGGUGAGUAACGCGUGGGGAAUCUGCCUUUGAGCGGGGGACAACAUUUGGAAACGAAUGCUAAUACCGCAUAAAAACUUUAAACACAAGUUUUAAGUUUGAAAGAUGCAAUUGCAUCACUCAAAGAUGAUCCCGCGUUGUAUUAGCUAGUUGGUGAGGUAAAGGCUCACCAAGGCGAUGAUACAUAGCCGACCUGAGAGGGUGAUCGGCCACAUUGGGACUGAGACACGGCCCAAACGCCUACGGGAGGCAGCAGGAGGGAAUCUUCGGCAAUGGACGAAAGUCUGACCGAGCAACGCCGCGUGAGGGAAGAAGGUUGUCGGAUCGGAAAACUCGGUUGGUAGAGAAGAACGUUGGUGAGAGUGGAAAGCUCAUCAAGUGACGGUAACUACCCAGAAAGGGACGGCUAACUACGUG